rnacentral:snRNA from 1 species
CUACUUAACUGGCAGGGGAAGUACCUUGAAGGUGGUUUUCCCAGGGUGAGGCUUAUGCAUUGUACUCUGGAUGUACUGACCCCUGUGAUUUCCCCAAAUGUGGAAAACUCAACCACAUAAUUUGUGGUAGUGGGGGACUGCAUUUAUUCUCUGCCCUG